AGAAUAGAUGUCACUUCCGGCCGCCAUCUUUGUUUACAUUAAUUAACGGCCGCAUCUUGUCAAACGUUUAAGAAUUCGUCGAGCGGAAUAACUUUUCUACAAGGUGGCCAGAGGAGUAAUCAGGAAUGUGGAGAUGUCUUCAAAACGGCGAUCGUCUCCUGUACCUUGCCGAAGCUGCCUUUCCCGAGCAUCUUGUGCAGGACGAAGUCAUCGAUGGUGAACUUGGGCUGGUGUUCCUUCCUGGGGACGGCGUACAGCGGCUCUUCUGUCGGCGUGUCUGUCGGCGCCUCGUCGAUCGUCGGCCCGUCCCAUGAAACACCCUGCAGCUCUGCAAGGAUGCUGUGGCGGUUACUAACCCAGACGGCGCCCGGACCAUUCCCGGCUGACCGACACCUACUGGACCUUCUCGACCAAUGAUUUCAUUGUCAGUGUCUCUGGUGCUUCUGGCCUGAAGAAGAAAGACACAUGCCCACACACACUCGUCACAGGCUGAACGUUUGAAGUGUGCAGCCUGCAGCCUCCCGUACAGUUUGAAUCUGUCGCACAGAGCGCUGCCUUCAUGCACAGGAGGAGUUCAGCUUCCGGGGCCUCAGUUACAACGAGACUCACCCACAGCAGAGUCCUUGAAGCUUUUCACUGAGCUGCUCCAGGAUAAUGACCCGAUGGCAGCUGUGCUGUGCAGCGCCGAGCUGAAGUGAAGAAGUAAAAGAAAAGCUGCUGUGAACGCUCUUCUGCCUUCGCUGAUUUAAAGAGAAUAAAGAAGUAGUUUGGAGGCAGAAAAUAACUGUAUUUUAUUCUGAAUAAACUUAGUUUUAGCAGUGGAAACAGCUGUGUUUUGUGGUACGACCACUCACUAUUUCAUAUUCAGCGUGUGAUUUCCCACAUUAGCCAGAGUGACUGACAGCCCACAGACAGAGAGAGACAGAGGGGGCACAGGCUUGUUCCACUCAGCUGUGGGUUCAGUCUGUAGGAGGACGGAGACAUAUCAAUAAUUUUCCACUCAUGCAAAAAACAACAGUGUCACGCAAACCACAACAAGUCCUCCGGCUGCAGUGCAUUCUGCAGGGUUGGUACGGAUGGUUGAAAUC